UUUGGGGUCCUCCCCAGGAAAGUGAGCCUGAGCGUAGGCUUGGGGGGUCUAGUGUCCCAGCCAGGGCACUCUCCUCUAACCAUUUUAGGGCUGCCUGGGUAAUUUGGCGUCACUCCUUCAUAUCGAAGAGGGUCAGAAGAAGGUGGCGGCAGUCUGUCCAGGUAGGUUUGUAGGUUUGAAUUAUGGACUGCUUUAAGUCAGCCUGGGGUUUCUCUGUAUAAGAGGGGGUAUGGUGCUUCCAAUUUAGGAGAUCUGUAGUGAUAGAGGGUUGGUACACAAAACACACUGGCCUCCUUGGAUCUGGCCUUUCUGAUCAUAAUAGAUGGGUCCCCUGGUUUCCCUCAGUGGCAACUGUAGGGCUCCCUGGUGUUGCUGCAGAGAAGGGCUGCCUCUGCUGGCCUGAUUCUCUAGUUGCCUUCUAGGAGGCUUAUGUGGAUUUGAGACUAGCAGUCCGGUGAGUCAGUCACAUUCAGGGAGGCCAGUGGUUCUAGAGGUGGUGAGGCCUCGGGACUAAGAGCAGGCUGUCGAUGGGGUUUCAGCAGCUAGGGCUGCUGGGGGGAUGGGGGCACAGAUGACAGUGAGGGGUACACUGCGCAUAUGGUGGUGGGGUUUCUUCAGGUUCUCCUGACAGUAUGGGCUUUUAAAUUUCUGGACGAUGUUUGGAGGAAGCUGUGACGUGAGCCAUCAUAACUUUACAGCUCUCUUUAAUAUAGACUUUUAGCCAAGGCAUCCGGGAUAGGACCAGGUCUUGCCAAUAGUAAAUGUAAGGAAAUUGGUCAGGGUGGCCCGGGUCCCCUACAAUGACCCUGAACAUUCCGCCAACUACUUCCUUAUCAAGUGAGCCCUCGGAGGGCCAGCCCACCCCAAAUGACGGCCAAUCAAUUUCACAGAAUGUCUGGAGCUUUCCAGGAGUUAAUUUCACCCCAUAUAUCCCUUUUUGAAAUUCUUCAACAUAUACUCUACGGGAGUGGAUUUACUCUUCUUUCCACCCAUUUUCUCCCCCUAACAGACAACUUUAAGGCACACGCGGGGAAAACGAGGAAGGAGGGGGACUAAUUUGGAGAGGACGCACACUCGCUUUGUCCGCUUCCGGCCGCUCUCCUCUCGGAGAUAUUUCAGGUGCCUCUUAGCCCUGGCGGGUUCAGUUUCAACCCCUGACCCGGAUGAGACUCCCGAGGAAGUCUGACACUGCCUUAAGCUGUAUGAGGUUGCCCCCGAACCGAGGAUCAGGACUCAACACCCUGGUCAGGGAAGGACACAACAUGGACUUGAAAUGCUUUUUGAAUGUUGCCAAUACUUUGCUACAAAAAGGAGGCCAUCAUCCUUGGAUUGUGUGUUAACUUCAGAUGAGAAACCUGAGGCUCAGAGAGGUUAACUGGUGAUGCACCACAGCCAGCAAGCCUCAAACCUGGAUUCAUGCCCAGGCUCUCUGGCUCCAGUGUCUGUGUUCUUCUUGAUACACCUUGUUUCAGCCUGUCAACCACUUCUGCAGUACAGACACCUGGAAAACUUGAGGCUUGUGCUCACCGCCCAAGUAGCUCUGAAAAUGACCCAAAUUUAAAGAACCACUAAGCAUCAUAAUAGAGAAAUAUGUGGAAACUUACUGUAAGAAUGAAUGUUCCAGUGCCCAGAAUGGACAACAUCUGGGUUCUGAGCGUGCCCAGUAGGGAUGAUUUAACACCACGCUGAUGACUUGCAACAGAAGAUCGUCAUGUGAAAAGGGUUGCUUUCUUCAAGGAAUCCUGAUGGAGAGCUGGACUUCAAAUGUCUUCUUCCUUGGGAAUAACAUGAAUAGGGAGCAACAGCAAAACAAAACUUUCACAGCCCUCUACUUGAAGAUGCAAGGAUCAGAUCAAACUUCUAGACCCAGGUUAGAAGGCAUGAUGAAACCCUUGGAAUACCUAAUACAUGUCUGGCUCCUACUGGCCUCUUGACCAUUGUUGCAUUUUGGAAAACUAUGUCCAGGAUGAAUGUAUAGAAACCAAAGGAAGGAAGAAAAGAAGGAAAAAAGGAAGGAAGGAAAGAAGUCACCACAGGUGAAAUCCCUCUUAGCAGCUGGCUUAUGAAAUAAUGUGAAGGGAGGCCUUAAUGAGCAGAAAGCACCCUCAGCUGGAGAUAAAUAUAUGCAAAUGAGAUGCACAAACAAAGGAGCCUGGACAGAGAAAUAUCUGCAAUUCCAGCAAAAUGCUGCCUGCAGCUCGAAGAUGAACAGCUUUGAUAAAAUGUGAGAAAUAAUCCUCAUAUGUGCUGAUGACAAGCACACGAACCGGCAACAAGCAAGUAGGAUAAAAAAUAGUUAAAAUGAAUCAACAUUUAUCUGGAAGAUACAGUCCUGACCCUAAAAAAAAAGAAAAAAAAAAGUCAUUUAUCUUCUGUGUCCUGUGAUGUUUUGAAGAUUCUGGCAAAUAUGGCAGUUAAACAAACUUCUCUCACAA